GACGAACGCUGGCGGCGUGCUUAACACAUGCAAGUCGAACGGUGAAGCGCCUUCCUUUUUGGUGGGUGUGGAGGAGUGGCGAACGGGUGAGUAACACGUGAGUAACCUGCCCCCUUCUUCUGGAUAACCGCAUGAAAGUGUGGCUAAUACGGGAUAUUCUGGGUCUGUCGCAUGAUGGGUCUGGGAAAGAUAUUGUUUCGGUGGGGGAUGGGCUCGCGGCCUAUCAGCUUGUUGGUGGGGUGAUGGCCUACCAAGGCGGUGACGGGUAGCCGGCCUGAGAGGGUGGACGGCCACACUGGGGCUGCGCCACCGCCCAGCCUCCUGCGGGCGGCAGCAGUGGGGAUUAUUGCACAAUGGGCGCAAGCCUGGUGCAGCGACGCCGCGGGAGGGAUGGAGGCCUUCGGGUUGUGAACCUCUUUCGCCAGUGAAGCAGGCCUGCCUCGUCUGUGGGUGGGUUGACGGUAGCUGGAUAAGAAGCGCCGGCUAACUACGUG
rnacentral:rRNA from 1 species